UAACGACUCUCGGCAACGGAUAUCUCGGCUCCCGCAUCGAUGAAGAACGUAGCGAAAUGCGAUACAUGGUGUGAAUUGCAGAAUCCCGUGAACCAUCGAGUCUUUGAACGCAAGUUGCGCCCGAAGCCAUUAGGCCGAGGGCACGUCUGCCUGGGCGUCUCACA
rnacentral:rRNA from 1 species